rnacentral:rRNA from 1 species
GCAUAACGCGAAGAACCUUACCAGGUCUUGACAUCCCUCUGAAUCCUCUAGAGAUAGAGGCGGCCUUCGGGACAGAGGAGACAGGUGGUGCAUGGUUGUCGUCAGCUCGUGUCGUGAGAUGUUGGGUUAAGUCCCGCAACGAGCGCAACCCUUGAUUUUAGUUGCCAGCACUUCGGGUGGGCACUCUAAAAUGACUGCCGGUGACAAACCGGAGGAAGGCGGGGAUGACGUCAAAUCAUCAUGCCCCUUAUGACCUGGGCUACACACGUACUACAAUGGCCAGUACAACGGGAAGCGAAGUCGCGAGAUGGAGCCAAUCCUAUCAAAGCUGGUCUCAGUUCGGAUUGCAGGCUGCAACCCGCCUGCAUGAAGUCGGAAUUGCUAGUAAUCGCGGAUCAGCAUGCCGCGGUGAAUACGUUCCCGGGUCUUGUACACACCG